rnacentral:rRNA from 1 species
UACGAAGGGGGCUAGCGUUGCUCGGAAUCACUGGGCGUAAAGCGCACGUAGGCGGAUUGCUAAGUCAGGGUGAAAUCCUGGAGCUCAACUCCAGAACUGCCCUUGAUACUGGCGGUCUCGAGUCCGGAGAGGUGAGUGGAACUGCGAGUGUAGAGGUGAAAUUCGUAGAUAUUCGCAAGAACACCAGUGGCGAAGGCGGCUCACUGGCCGUACUGACGCUGAGGUGCGAAGCGUGGAGCAAACAGG